AGCCAGCAUCAGCUCCCACCUGGAUUACUGCUGCUAUUCCUCCUCCACUGCUUCUACUUCCGCCCCCUCAAGACAAAGUUUAAAUCAGAUUUGAUCACUCCACUGAUUAAAGCCCCCCGAAGACUCUCCAGCUGCAAUUACAACAGAUUCCAAACAUUUUGCCAUGAAUUUCAGGUCUAGUACCCACAAACUUGAUCAACCUAUAGAUGAAAUGGAAGAUAAAACAGAGUCCCUGGAUUUAAUACCUGAUGCUCCUCCUGACUACAACUGCCACUUAAAUUCAUCAGAUACAAAUCCUGAUGCCCCUCCAGAAUACAAUUCCUGUUUUGUACUUGGGCCCCCAGACCAGCUGUCCCUCCACCUGCAUGCUACCCAGGAGGCUUGCCAGCUGGUGGCACCCAUCCUAUACAGUACCAGCCUGGCAGGUCAAAUCACUCAAUGGUGUAUCCAACGUGGGCAGUAUUACUUGGAAGUGGAAUGGUGUGUUAUCUGCAAUGAGCGAUGCUGACCACUUUGAAGUUCCCUUCCCAUUAGACCUGGAUGUGACGAAGAAAGCCAUCUUUUCUGGAGCUUGCUUCCUCAUGGAGGGGCCAGAUGCACCAAGUUAUCCUUCACCUAAGAAGAGAUACCUCAACAUGCCCUAUACCAUGGAACUGCUAGAAAUUUCACUGAGGUAGAAGGCCCCUGAAUUUUUGCUGGAUUGUUUUCUACCUUCUGAUAUGCAAAUAUCUUACAGAUAAGUCUAGAGUAGUUUCUGCUUCUUGUUCACUAGGUCCACUCAACAUAAUGUCAUCAGUACAGUGGACCAGUAUGAUAUCUUGUGGAAGAGAAAGGUAAUCAGGAUCCCUGUGAACUAAAUUAUGACAUGGGACUGGAGAGCUGAUAUGCCUGUGAGGUAGGACAGUGAAGGUAUAUUGCUGGUGUUGCCAGCUGAAAGCAAACAACUUCUGGUGGACCUUAGGGACAGAGAUGGAGAAAAAGGCAUUUGCCAUAUCAAUAGCUACAUAGCAGGUACCAGGGGACGUGUUAAUUUGCUCAGAGCAAUGAAACCACAUCUGCUACAGCAACUGCAAUUGGAAUCACCACCUGUUCAAGUUUACGAUAAUCCGCUGUCAUUCUCCAAAAUCCUUCUGUCUUCUUCACAGGCCAAAUAGACAAAUUGAAUGGGUAUGUGGUGGGAAUCACCACCUUUGCAUCUUUCAAGUCCUUGAUGAUGGCACUAAUUUCUGUGAUACCUCCAGGUAUACAGUAUUGAUUUUGGUUUACUAUUUUGCUAGGUAAAAGUGACUCUAAUUGGCUUUUCCUUGGCCUUUUCCACCAUAAUAGGCUUCACUCCACAGGUCAGGGAACCAGUGUAGGGAUUCUGCCAGCUACUGAGUAUUUCUUCCAGUUACGCAUUCUGAACUGGGGAAAUAACAACAGGGCGGUUUCAGGGACCCAUUAUUUCCUUUUCUUCAAUGCACAGUUACCCUAGUAAAAGGCCAUAGGUUCCAUAGGCAAGGCUUAGGGAAAUAUUAAUAGUAUAAAUUUUUGGUAAUGUCUCAGGGUCCUUCCUCCAGGGGACCCGGCCUCCUCUUUAUUCAAGGACUUUUGAAUCUAUAAACUGACUCAAGUCCGGGAGUUGAUUGAGUGUUAGUAACCCUCUGUUUUUAUGAUUCAGUUUUGACUGUUGUUCACUUGACCUAGAACUCUUCUACUGCAAGUGUAAGACAUCAGGGAGUGAAGGAAGGUAGGGGAACUGACAGUGCAGCCCAGUCUAAUGUCUCUCAAAUUAAAAUACAAACAAGCAAACUACAGUGCUGACCAGAUCCCAAUAUGUGGACUGGCCUGAUUAGGGCCAAAAGACUCCAUAUGCAUCAAUCUAGCAAGAGUAUUUUCACACCUAUGCACUACUUUUAAGAAAUAAAUGGUUUAUAAAUAAAAAUUAGGUACUUAAUUUAUCAUAAGCAGCAGUAUUUCCUUAUGAUUAAAAUAAGGACUAUGGAAAUAAAUAUCCAAUUAGAGUUAGCGUCCCAGCUCUACCACUUGUUACUCCGUGCCUCACUUUCCUCUUAGAUCCAUGCUUGGGGGAGUCAUAUUAACCUCUCUAUGCCCUAGUUUUCCCCUGUGUAAGAUAGGAAGAAUAAUAGUACUUACCUACAUGAGUUGAUUUGACGAUUAAAUAUGUUAUUAUAUAUAAAGUGCUUAGGACCAUGCCUGGCACACAGUAAGCACUACAGAAGUAGUAGCUAUUAUUAUGUUACUAACUUUUCCUUUUUAAAGUGAAGGUCUGUUAUUAACUUGAUAUAUGAGAUUGCUAUGACGCCUGCCAUAGUUCAGUUUUUUAGAAAGCAUUUAAUUGCAUUCCUUUGUAAAAAAUACUUUAAAGUAUUGUUUCUAGUUUGAUUUUGGAUCAACAGAAAUAGAACAAAUGUAUCCCCUACAGCUAACCCUUAAGCUAAGGAUUUCUUAGAGCAGAGGUUCUCAAACUUAAUUGUACAUCAGAAUCACCUGGAGCGUUUGUUAAAGUACAGAUUUCUGGGCCCAUCUCCAGAGUUCCUCAUUCAGUACAUUUAGGGAACAACCUGAGGUUUUGCAUUUCUAAGUAUUUCCAGUAUAAUGCUGAUCCUGCUGGGCUGGGGAUGACUCUUGAGAGCUGUUGUCUUAGUGAACAAAAUUCAAUGUUUGUUAAGGAAAGAAUUUUGAAAAUUUAGUUAAGUUUUUCUCUCUGUGUAUAUUAUGUCUAUAUACAUAUACAUAUAUAUAGUAAUUACUUGAAAG